UAUUGCACAAUGGGGGAAACCCUGAUGCAGCGACGCCGCGUGAGUGAAGAAGUAUUUCGGUAUGUAAAGCUCUAUCAGCAGGGAAGAAAAUGACGGUACCUGAUCAAGAAGCCCUGGCUAACUACGUGGCAGCAGCCGCGGUAAUACGUAGGGGGCAAGCGUUAUCCGGAUUUACUGGGUGUAAAGGGGGCGUAGACGGCAUCACAUGUCUGGAGUGAAAUGCCGGGGCUUAACCCCGGAACUGCUUUGGAAACUGUGCAGCUAGAGUGCAGGAGAGGUAAGUGGAAUUCCUAGUGUAGCGGUGAAAUGCGUAGAUAUUAGGAGGAACACCAGUGGCGAAGGCGGCUUACUGGACUGUAACUGACGUUGAGGCUCGAAGGCGUGGGGAGCAAACAGG
rnacentral:rRNA from 1 species